rnacentral:tmRNA from 1 species
GGGGGCGAAACGGUUUCGACGGGGACAAGGUUGGUAGAGGCUGCAUGCCGAGGUCCCAUCACCCUCGUAAAACCGGUGGGAAAAAACACAACUGCCAACCAUCAACUGGCACUGGCUGCCUAACGAGUGGCCACGCCCCCUUGCCUCGCUUACCGGGUAAGGUCAGGUGUCAUACAGGUGAGCUGGCCUUCCUCUCCCGGCCCGGGGGAGGAGGGCGAGAAUUAAGGGCUGGUCGGUGAGUGACCCUGCCUGUGGGGGUGUUCACCGACGAGAAAAAAACACAGGCUAAGCAUGUAGAGGCUUCUAUGGGUCUGUUCUCGGACGCGGGUUCGACUCCCGCCGCCUCCACCA